rnacentral:rRNA from 1 species
CCUACGGGAGGCAGCAGUGAGGAAUAUUGGUCAAUGGGCGAGAGCCUGAACCAGCCAAGUCGCGUGAAGGAUGACGGCCCUACGGGUUGUAACCUUCUUUUGUCAGGGAGCAAUUGGGUCCACGCGUGGGCUUAGCGAUAGUACCUGAAGAAAAAGCAUCGGCUAACUCCGUACCAGCAGCCGCGGUAAUACGGGGGAUGCGAGCGUUAUCCGGAUUUAUUGGGUUUAAAGGGUGCGUAGGCGGAAUAUCAAGUCAGCGGUAAAAAUUCGGGGCUCAACCCCGUCGUGCCGUUGAAACUGACGUUCUUGAGUGGGCGAGAAGUAUGCGGAAUGCGUGGUGUAGCGGUGAAAUGCAUAGAUAUCACGCAGAACUCCGAUUGCGAAGGCAGCAUACCGGCGCCCAACUGACGCUGAAGCACGAAAGCGUGGGUAUCGAACAGGAUUAGAUACCCUAGUAGUC